rnacentral:rRNA from 1 species
AUUGAACGCNGGCGGCGUGCUUAACACAUGCAAGUCGAACGUGAAAGUCCUUCGGGGCGAGUAAAGUGGCGCACGGGUGAGUAACGCGUGGAUAAUCUACCCUUAAGAUGGGGAUAACGGCUGGAAACGGUCGCUAAUACCGAAUACGCUCCCGAUUUUAUCGUUGGGGGGAAAGAUGGCCUCUGCUUGCAAGCUAUCGCUUAAGGAUGAGUCCGCGUCCCAUUAGCUAGUUGGCGGGGUAACGGCCCACCAAGGCGACGAUGGGUAGCCGGUCUGAGAGGAUGACCGGCCACACUGGAACUGGAACACGGUCCAGACUCCUACGGGAGGCAGCAGUGGGGAAUAUUGCGCAAUGGGCGAAAGCCUGACGCAGCGACGCCGCGUGAGGGAUGAAGGUUCUCGGAUCGUAAACCUCUGUCAGGGGGGAAGAAACCCCCUCGUGUGAAUAAUGCGAGGGCUUGACGGUACCCCCAAAGGAAGCACCGGCUAACUCCGUGCCAGCAGCCGCGGUAAUACGGAGGGUGCAAGCGUUAAUCGGAAUCACUGGGCGUAAAGCGCACGUAGGCGGCUUGGUAAGUCAGGGGUGAAAUCCCACAGCCCAACUGUGGAACUGCCU